GCUCUGGUGGUGGAACUGGUAGACACGCAGGACUUAAAAUCCUGUGCUUUCAAAGGCGUGCGGGUUCGAUUCCCGCCCCGAGUACAA
rnacentral:tRNA from 1 species